rnacentral:rRNA from 1 species
GUCCACGCCCUAAACGAUGGAUACUCGACAUACGCGAUACACUGUGUGUGUCUGAGCGAAAGCAUUAAGUAUCCCACCUGGGAAGUACGUUCGCAAGAAUGAAACUCAAAGGAAUUGGCGGGGGUCCGCACAAGCGGUGGAGUAUGUGGUUUAAUUCGAUGAUACGCGAGGAACCUUACCUGGGCUAGAAUGCUGGGAGACCGUGGGUGAAAGCUCACUUUGUAGCAAUACACUGCCAGUAAGGUGCUGCAUGGCUGUCGU